rnacentral:rRNA from 1 species
UAAGCAGAGGGGGCAAGGCGUUUAUUCGGAAUUUAUUGGGCGUAAAGGGGCGCGUAGGCGGCCUGGCAAGUGGAGGGUGAAAUCCCUCGGCUUAACCGAGGAACUGCCUCCCAAACUGCUUGGGCUUGAGACCGGGAGAGGUGAGUGGAAUUCCCAGUGUAGCGGUGAAAUGCGUAGAUAUUGGGAGGAACACCAGUGGCGAAGGCGGCUCACUGGACCGGUACUGACGCUGAUGCGCGAAAGCGUGGGGAGCAAACGGG